UACGGAGGGUGCAAGCGUUGCUCGGAAUUAUUGGGCGUAAAGGGUAGGUAGGUGGUCUUAUUUGUCUGGGGUGAAAGCCUUGAGCUUAACUCAAGAAGUGCCCCAGAAACGGUAAGACUAGAGUCCUGGAGAGGGUCGUGGAAUUCCCGGUGUAGCGGUGAAAUGCGUAGAGAUCGGGAGGAACACCAGUGGCGAAGGCGAGUCCCUAGACAAACCCUGACACUGAGGCACGAAAGCCAAGGGAGCAAACAGG
rnacentral:rRNA from 1 species